UUUGUAAAUCCCAUAGUGAUGUUCAUGCCUGUUGCGACGCGAGAUAAGUUUGUUGACUCAUAGAGUUCCGUUUUACUUAGAAAUUUGCAGAUCAGAUAAGAAUUGUGCUAUAUAAGAUCGAACAGUUGCAGUCAUGCAGUCAGUCUAUGGUCGUUUGAUCGCAGUGGAUUGUAUACGUCUACCAAUACUACGUUUGUGUUACUUAGUUUCAACGCAUCAAUGGUCAUGGAGAGAUCAUUCAGCUUCGCAGACGAUAAUAAAAAUACCUAUAAACAAUAUUACUACUCGCCACUCUCUCCGUAACACGAAGAAGAGAGAGAUGACAUCGUCGUUAAUAACACAAACGAUGGUGGAAAAAGGAAAUCGCAACCGAUUGAUAAAUUUUUUGAAGUGGCACCAAAAACAAAAAGGAAGAAGCUGCUAUCGUCGACUGUGGCACAAGCUGCUAGAGAUGGCGUAUCAUACACCUCUACAAAUUCUGAUGACGGACACCAAGCGACGCAUCUCAUAAAAAUUGAAAUGUAUGAUUUGAAGAAACUAUCCAAGAUUCCAAUUAGUGAUCACUGGAAGCACGCUACCACGAGGAUUAAAUAUUACGUAAAGAAUAAUAAAGAUAGCAUCUACGACAACACAAACUGUCUCGUAUACAAUACUACAAAGACAAUAGCAGAGAGUGAAAAAGUUAUUAGCGGAUUUUGUAUAAGAUUAAAUAGGAGAGGUUUAUAAAUAAAUAAAAAAUUGUAUAUUGCA